CUCCUUCCCAGACCUCAUUUAAGGGUUGGCAGUAGAAACAAGAGUAUUUUGCUUGAGAUCCCUGCAUACCUGAGGCCUUUUAAGGGUGCUACCUUAUUUCCCACGUGAGUUGGACAUUCCAGAAUUACAACUUGUAGGUUUGAAAUAUCUGGUUGUGGGUUUUCAUGACAAGCAAACAUUUCCAGAAUCAUUUCACCUCCUGCAGAGCAUGUUUCAUCAUUUGCUGCUCCCCCUGUGACAUUUUAAAAAAGCUAGUGAUAUGUCCCUAAUAUCAGCACUACUGUUUGA